rnacentral:lncRNA from 1 species
CUCAGCCUAAAUGACUUUCAUGUUUCCCAUUUUUAGCCUCCCGUAAAAAACUUGGUUUUUAACUCAUUUUUAUACUGCAACCUUCGCUUUCCUCUAAGAUGGCCACCUUUUUUCACAUUCGCGAUUAUUUUUCUCAUGAGUUUUAACAAAUUAGUAAAACAAAAAGGAACUGACACUCUCCGCGCCUGAGAAGUCAGUCCACCAAACGCGCUUCAGCCAAAACAAAAGCCUGCGGGUGGGAAGCGAGAUCCCGCGAGCUUCAUUCUGGGAAAUGUAGUCCAAGAGGUGUGUGAAAUUGGAGGCGCUUCCGCUUGGGGAUUCUGGGAAGUGUAGUCCGGGACCUGUGUCCAGAAGGAGGCAGUUCCGCUCCGGGAAGGCGAGGUCGGGCCGAGCCUGCUCCGAGUGAGGUGAGUGAGCCGUGCGUCCCGGCCAUCCCUCGGGCUCCCGGUCGCGGCGUGGGGCCGGCGGGGACCCGGUCCCGGCUCCUGGGCACGGGAAGCGGCGGCCCGCGGCGGAGGGCGGGCUGGAGGCGGCGGGGGCGCGCUGGGGUCGUGCUUCGAGUUGGCGGGUCCCCAGCGCUCCGCUCCCCCAGCCCUCGCCCCGGACCUCCCGGCCGGCUCUGCCUGUUUCUCCGGGGAGAUGGAGGUUUUGCCUUCCCAGAUCUCUGCCUUUCCCCAGAAGGAAGAGGAGAAAAAUGACCAAGUUCCAGGUGAGUUGGGUUUGCCUUUCUGUUUCUUAAAAGGACAUCUCAUUUCCCAAAGAUUGGACAUACUGUUUUCUUGCUUGGUCACAUAAAAGGGAACCAAAGUCACUUGAGGAAUUGCUAUAAGCUAGGCUCUUGCUUUUUGCUUAUUUGCAAAUAAUUAUGUGAAAAUUAAAAUUUAAUACCUUUUUUUUUUUUUUUGGUGAGGAAGAUUCACCCUGAGCUAAUAGCCGUUGCCACUCUUCCUUUUUUUUCCUUUUUUUUUUUUUUUUGCUUAAGUAAGAUUAACUCAGCUAAUGUUGCCGCUCCAAAUUGGGGUCUUUGCCUGAUUUGCAUAAACAAGCCAAUUAAGUACACAUUAGCUUUUGAGGGGAGAAAGCAGCUUUUAUUCUGUGAGAUUGAUCUCCAGGGAGACAGGGGGCGUGUGUCCUCAGAUCUGUCUCCCUGAUUCCCAAUUUAGGAUGAAAUUUAAGAGGUUAGGGAGAACAGGUUGGCACAUGGAAACGGUGGUGGGAGAGGCUUUGAUUGGUGGGCUUCAGGCAUUUGUGAUAAGGUUCUAAACAUUUAUGGUGGGCUUCUAAACAUUUUGCACGUGGAGGAGAAAGAAUUUUAACACCGGAUCUUCCUGAAUGUGGGACCCCUCGCUUCUGAUAAGAGUCCAGCUUUCAAGUUCCAGUCGUGUCCCAGUCCUUAGGUUCCGCGGGAAGGAUGAGCUUUGGUUCUGAGGUCAUUUCAGGUCAGGAUUUCUUCUUUUGUGCCUGCCCUGGCUGCAUGACUUUGCAGUUUUUCUGAAAGACAAUCCUUAAUCAUUUUUGUUGAUCAGAGAUGGAGGUCUGUUCAGACUGGCUCUACACAGGCCCAGGGUUACAAAUCCCCCCUAUUUAUUGUUCAUUCCUCAAUCUUGAGGGAAUGGGGUGAUGACCACUCUAGCUGCUUCCUGCUGGUAAAGGGCAUGGGCCUAACGGGGACUUGAGGAAUGACCAGCUUAUAAUUGUAACUACUCACAAGUUCCAGAGAGUUGUUCUUGGAGGGAUUGAUCUCCUUGGGUCUCUGGGAGUAGACUUGACGAGAGAGUUAAGAUUCUCAAACCUGAACAGGAAGCAUAACAAGACCAUCACCAAAGGACCUGUUAGUAGGUACAGCCAUGCCUCACUGGGGAGAAAUUCUUAUGUAUAAAGAGAGACUGGGUUGAGAGGAGGGUGGCAUCUCUAUCUUGGCUUUGGGGACAUUGUCAGUGCCUAAAGCAGAUGUACAAAGCCUGCCCAACAGGCCAGUCAGGCCGUUUUGUGAAAAACUGGGUUAGGCCAAAUUAACUUGAAACUAAGCAGCUCCCUCCUAUGUUCUAAUAUAUCCUAUUGCUUUCCAUGUAUUUAUCCUUUUCCCUGUUUUUGAUGAUCCUUCUGUGGAAGGCACUGAUGAUCAAAGUAUCAUCCAUCGGCGCCAGGGUGGUCGCUGCCUACCCUGGGCCCCUCAGGUGCCUCUGCGCUAGGCCUUUGUCCCAUUGGUUUGCCUAGUUAUCCACGUUGGGGGACACUGUGGACAAGCGUGGAUAUAUACCCAUUAACAGAGGAAGCUUUUCAUAUGUUUCUCAAUUAACUUUAGAUUGUUGUGCGGACAUUGUGCCUGUGCUUUUUGUGAUUCUUUAUGAUUAUAUUGUUUAUAAUUAUGGAAAAGACUAUUUUCAAAAUAAGUUCUUAAGUUUUAUCAGAAAUAGUCUUUAUCAGGAAGAGAAAUUCGUUCGGAGUCAUAAAAUUGAUCGACCAUUUCGAGUUGUCGAGCCAUCAUUACGUUAGCUUGCAUACUAGUCUUACAACACUGGGUAAAGAAAACAGUAAUCAGUUUGAAUACUAUGACUAAUACAAGAAUUCCAAAAAGUAAUAGAAAUUGAAGUCCGGAUCUUAAAAAGGAACCAACACCCGAGGGAAGCAACCAAAUAAAUCAGGACUGAGGGUGGGGUCA